rnacentral:misc_RNA from 1 species
UCCGGCUUAACGCCGGCAGUUUCCCUGGAGUUCCCAACCGAAUUGCUGGCAACCAGGGACGAGGGUUGCGCUCGUUGCGGGACUUAACCCAACAUCUCACGACACGAGCUGACGACAGCCAUGCAGCACCUGUGCACGGUCCAGCCAAACUGAAGGGGUGUGUCUCCACUCCCCGCGACCGGCAUGUCAAGACCUGGUAAGGUUCUUCGCGUUGCCUCGAAUUAAACCACAUGCUCCACCGCUUGUGCGGGUCCCCGUCAAUUUCUUUGAGUUUUAACCUUGCGGCCGUACUCCCCAGGCGGGGUGCUUAAUGCGUUAGCUGCGCCACCGAGCCUUAAAGACCCGACAACUAGCACCCAUCGUUUACGGCGUGGACUAC